rnacentral:lncRNA from 1 species
CUAGUUUGCAUGCAGCAAAGUUCACUCUGUUGCAAGCAAACAUGCGUGUCAGGUCCUUGGUUCGAGGGUACCCAGGUCCUUCCGUUCAUUCGUCCAUUUUUCGCACCCAUUUCCGAAGAUUCUGGAAAAAACUCAUGAACGCUGUCCCCCGCCCCCCCGACUAAACAAUCAAACUAUUCCUUUUAAAACUCUAUACCGUUCCACAACAUUUAUUGCAAAAAGGCGUAGCAGAUUCUCAUAGCAAUAGCUCUGAUAUUUAGCUAAGAACAUCCUCACUGCCGCACUGCCGCCACCACCACCACCACCCGUACCCAGGUGCCACUUCUGUAAAACAAGGACGGGUAACCACGUGCAAUGCAUUCCUCAGGUUUCAUGUAACCACGUGUUUAACUCCUCCACACAUCUGUUUAGGGGUGGCGUUUCGAGUAUUAAAUAUCAAGGGAAUAAGGACACCCCUACCCCCGGCCACCACUACAACAGCCCUUUCACUUCACCACCACCACCACCACCACCACUACCUACUACAUUCUCUAUUAAAACUAUCAUCACCAUCGUCUCCGUCGCUACAUACCCUAUCGCUGCUAGUCCCACCCCUAUUUUUACCGCCCCCAUCGCCACUAAUUACGUUAGUGUUAAUAGAACUAAUGAAGUGAAUACUUAAUGGCUAAUUAAAAAUAAUUAUGGGGAGACAACAUACACACUUCACAGCUAAUAUAUCUUUCUGUAAUAAUUUAUGUUAAUUUAUGAUAAUUUAUGUAUCUCUAAAUAGAUGUGCAAUAUAGAUACAAAAAUACAUGCAUACAUACAUAACAGACCUGAUAUUGUUCUAAGGGAUCGGGAACAAAAAUCCUGCGCUGUUGUAGGGGUCAGCUACUCAGCGGAUGUGAAUGUACACUCAAAGCUCCAGGAGAAAGAGAACGUUUAUGGCGAAUUAAUGCGGAUCUUACCGCUCUUGUACCCUGGCUAUGAAUUCUCAUUUGUACCUACCAUCAUAAGUGCAUUAGGUUAGGUACUAACAAAUUUACACAUAAACCCAGAAAUACUUGGCUUCACGGAAGAAGUGCAAAAUAAACUGACGCAGAUUCUCCAAAUAUAAUUUAUUAAUGGUAUGGUGAAGGUUUGUAAGACAUUCUAGAAAUUCUCCAUGUGAGGUUCUUUUGUGUAUAGAUGCACACACUUGAGUGUACGCAUCAACAGUUCGACCAAAACACCAACUCGACCACAUUUUUACAAAUACCGGGAACUCUCUUAAUCCAAGAAGCCUUGUCACUUUGUUAGCGACCGGCUUGAAAUCCUGCAAGAAGAACUUAAAUUAAACUCAAAGAAAAAUCAUAGAUACCUCAAAGAAGGAUACCCCAAAGAAGUUUAUCCCAAAGAAGAAUACCCCAAAGAAGGAUACCUCAAAGAAAGAUACCUCAAGGAAAGAUACCCCAAAGAAGGAUACCUCAAAGAAGGAUACCUCAAAGGAGGAUACUCCAAAGAAGGAUAUCGCAUAGAAGGAUACCUCAAAGAAGGAUACCUCAAAGAAGGAUACCCCAAAGAAGGAUACCUCAAAGAAGGAUACCUCAAAGAAGGAUACCUCGAAGAAGGAUACCCCAAAGAAGGAUACCUCAAAGAAGGAUACCUCAAAGAAGGAUACCUCGAAGAAGGAUACCCCAAAGAAGGAUACCUCAAAGAAGGAUACCCCAAAGAAGGAUACCUCGAAGAAGGAUACCCCAAAGAAGGAUAUCGCAAAGAAGGAUACUUCAAAGAAGGACAUCUCAAAGAAGGAUACCUCAAAGAAGGAUAACUCAAAGAAGGAAGACCUGGAUGUGAAAUACUCAGUAUACCCACUCCCCACAAAAAAAAGGCCAUGCAUAAGUAUCCCGAAGACUUGAGGAAGACAAUAAUAUUGCCAAGAAGCGAGACUCUCUUGGACUCGUGACUGCUACAUCACAUCACACUUCGAAAGCUGUGCAUUUGCAAUCCAAGAACCAAGAGAUUGCUAAGAAGUACAAAAUCAACAGAAGAUACAGCUCCAAGAUGCAACCGAAAAUGUCAAUUAUGUCAUAUUUCUGCGUCUUACAACACGUGAUCAGCAGCUGCCUAAAAACACCAUCAAAGUACUACAGCCCUGUGUGAAACGACGUUGUUGCAAAAACUGUGAGUGUAUGUGUGUGUGCGUGUGCGUGCGUGUGUGCAUGUGUGUAUGUGUGUGUGUGUGUGUGCGUGUGUGUGUGUAUGUGUGUGUGUGCGUGUGUGUGUGUGUAGUAGAGCUGAGCUCACGCUCUGCUGCAAGAGCUUUGCGAUGUAUGCCGCUGGUUACAUAGAUGGCAACAUUAUGGAGUAGAUACGAUAUAUAUAUAUAUAUAUAUAUAUUACGGAGAUGUACUUGCAUAGCAAGUGACCUUAUUUGAGAUCGUGUGCUGGAACGAAAACAAUUGCAGCGUGGAAGGCGUUUAUAAGCCAUUUAAGAAACACACAAAAACCGUUAGAUUCAUUUCAACAUUUAAAUUUAAUU